rnacentral:rRNA from 1 species
GAGUUUGAUCUUGGCUCAGAUUGAACGCUGGCGGCAUGCUUUACACAUGCAAGUCGAACGGUAACGCGGGGGCAACCCUGGCGACGAGUGGCGAACGGGUGAGUAAUACAUCGGAACGUGUCCUGGAGUGGGGGAUAGCUCGGCGAAAGCCGGAUUAAUACCGCAUACGCUCUGAGGAGGAAAGCGGGGGACCUUCGGGCCUCGCGCUGCGGGAGCGGCCGAUGUCGGAUUAGCUAGUUGGUGGGGUAAAGGCCUACCAAGGCGACGAUCCGUAGCUGGUCUGAGAGGAUGAUCAGCCACACUGGGACUGAGACACGGCCCAGACUCCUACGGGAGGCAGCAGUGGGGAAUUUUGGACAAUGGGGGCAACCCUGAUCCAGCCAUGCCGCGUGAGUGAAGAAGGCCUU